rnacentral:rRNA from 1 species
AGAAACAUUUUCUGCCACCGAAUACAUUAGCAUGGGAUAAUGGAAUAGGACCCUGUCCUCCUAUUUUCAGUUGGUUUUGGCAGCGCGAGGACUAGGGUAAUGAUUAAUAGGGAUAGUUGGGGGCAUUAAUAUUUAAUUGUCAGAGGUGAAAUUCUUGGAUUUAUGAAAGAUUAACUUCUGCGAAAGCAUCUGCCAAGGAUGUUUUCAUUAAUCAAGAACGAAAGUUAGGGGAUCGAAGACGAUCAGAUACCGUCGUAGUCUUAACCAUAAACGAUGCCGACCAGCGAUUAGGAGACGUUGAAUACAAAACACCACCAUCGGCGCGGUCGUCCUUGGCGUUCGUGUUCACGCACGGGCGCGAGGGCGGCUUACCCCGAUGGCACCGGUGAAUGACUCCCCUACCAACUUGUGAGAAAGA